CUGCCGUGCAGCACCCCUCGCACGGAGAGCAGUAGUGCCCGCCGCCUGAAGUGUUCCACCCAAACGGACCUCACAACAUACCUAUCAUGCGUGUUGUCGUAGCAAGCAUCCUGGCUCUGGCCGCCAUUACUUGCGUCCCCGUUGUCGUGUACCGCAUGACUCUGGCGCCCUCGGGCUCACCGCCCGUUACCCCACCCCGUCUCGAGCCCGUGCGUAUGCCCAUCAACCCCCGCGGCUCCCGGAUGCGGCAGGGCGCGGGUGGCACCCCAAACCUCACGGUGUCUGCUGUUCCCGCCCAGGAGUCCGUCACAAGCGGACCAAUAAAAUAUAUGACGGGGACAUCUACUACGGCCGGCUCACAUUCAAGUCACAAGCCUGCCAGCUCCCCUGCGAAUGCACGUGCGGUCUGGCCAUCCGUCUCGGAUAGUGCUAGUCCACUGCCAUCCACCGCAGCGCCCUCUUCGCCUGCCAACAGCUCUGUCCCACAACACAAUUUCGCUGCCCGGCUACUUCUCAUUGCCUUAAGGCGCCAAGCUCCGACACGAUUAGUGUAAACGUCUGUCAAGCAGAACCUCAAGGAAUUGACUGAUCUAAUAUCCGAACGAUUAAGUUCGGUUCGACUGAUAUCAUCCCCCGGUCGGAGCCUCAUACUCAUAUUCAACCGCGGCGACAUUAGCGAUGUACUGCAACCAUAACUUGUUCACUCUUAAAUUAUUUAUUUAUUGUAUAGGCUUAUGCAUGUAAAUACACCUAACAUCACUU